rnacentral:rRNA from 1 species
GAUGAACGCUGGCGGCGUGCCUAAUACAUGCAAGUCGAGCGAACGGACGAGAAGCUUGCUUCUCUGAUGUUAGCGGCGGACGGGUGAGUAACACGUGGAUAACCUACCUAUAAGACUGGGAUAACUUCGGGAAACCGGAGCUAAUACCGGAUAAUAUUUUGAACCGCAUGGUUCAAAAGUGAAAGACGGUCUUGCUGUCACUUAUCGAUGGAUCCGCGCUGCGUUAGCUAGUUGGUAAGGUAACGGCUUACCAAGGCAACGAUGCAUAGCCGACCUGUGAGGGUGGUCGGCCACACUGGAACUGAGACACGGUCCAGACUCCUGCGGGAGGCAGCAGUAGGGAAUCUUCCGCAAUGGGCGAAAGCCUGACGGAGCAACGCCGCGUGAGUGAUGAAGGUCUUCGGAUCGUAAAACUCUGUUAUUAGGUAAGAACAUAUGUGUAAGUAACUGUGCACAGCUUGACGGUACCUAAUCAGAAAGCCACGGCUAACUACGUG